AAUGAACGCUGGGCGGCGUGCCUAACACAUGCAAGUCGAGCGAGAAAGUCCUUCGGGAUGAGUACAGCGGCGGACGGGUGAGAAACGCGGUGAGAAUUUACCCUUUAGUGAGGAAUACCUUCGAGAAAUCGAAGUUAAUACUGCACGACGUCCCUUCGGGGAGAAAGGUGGCCUCUUGCUGCCGCUAAAGGAUAAGCUUGCGUACUAUUAGCUAGUUGGUGAGGUAAAGGCUCACCAAGGCGAUGAUGGUUAGCCGGCCUGAGAGGGUGUACGGCCACACUGGAACUUAGACACGGUCCAG
rnacentral:rRNA from 1 species